rnacentral:piRNA from 1 species
UAGGCACAUGUACUUAUCUGGAUGGAGUCU